AUUCCUUUAGUAUCAACAAGUACAGCUGACUUCCAAUCAGCCAGUUUCGGUAGAACCCGAAAAGGAAUA
rnacentral:tRNA from 2 species